rnacentral:snRNA from 1 species
GGAUGUGAGGGCCAUCUGGCUGCGAAAUCUGCUACCUCAUUGAUAGCCAGGAUUGAUCUGGCUGAUCUGGCUUACUUCAGGGUGCCCCCUUCCUCCCUCACUGCCGUGUGUGUGUGUGUGUGUGUGUGUGUGUGUGUGUGUGUGUGUGUCCUGAAGCCACACCUGAACUCCAAGAGGACCAUCUUCCCUGAGAAAGAUUGGUCUUCGGUCAAGGGUAUCUAUU